UACGUAGGGGGCAAGCGUUGUCCGGAUUUAUUGGGCGUAAAGCGCUCGCAGGUAGUCCGUCGCGUCGUGCGUGAAAGACCCCGGCUCAACUGGGGAGGGUCGUGCGAUACGGGCGGACUGGAGGCCAGUAGGGGGAUGCGGAAUUCCGGGUGUAGUGGUGGAAUGCGUAGAGAUCCGGAGGAACACCAGCGGCGAAGGCGGCAUCCUGGACUGGUCCUGACACUCAUGAGCGAAAGCGUGGGGAGCGAUCCGG
rnacentral:rRNA from 1 species